GAGUAACGCGUGGGCGAACCUGCCUCGUACUGGGGGAUAACAGUUGGAAACGACUGUUAAUACCGCAUAAGCGCACAGUACCGCAUGGUAUAGUGUGAAAAACUACCGGUGGUACGAGAUGGGCCCGCGUCAGAUUAGCCAGUUGGGUGGGGUAACGGCCUACCAAAGCAACGAUCUGUAGCCGGACUGAGAGGUCGGACGGCCACAUUGGGACUGAGACACGGCCCAAACUCCUACGGGAGGGCAGCAGUGGGGGAGUAUUGCACAAUGGGCGAAAGCCUGAUGCAGCGACGCCGCGUUGAGUGAAGAAGUAUUUCGGUAUGUAAAGCUCUAUCAGCAGGGAAGAAAGACUCGUAAGAGGAGAUGACGGUACCUGACUAAGAAGCCCCGGCUAACUACGUGCCAGCCGCGGC
rnacentral:rRNA from 1 species